rnacentral:rRNA from 1 species
GACGUAGGGGACGAGCGUUGUCCGGAUUCAUUGGGCGUAAAGCGCGCGUAGGCGGUUCGGUAAGUCGGGUGUGAAAACACGAGGCUCAACCUCGUGCGUGCAUCCGAUACUGCCGUACUAGAGGUAGGUAGGGGAGAUCGGAAUUCCUGGUGUAGCGGUGAAAUGCGCAGAUAUCAGGAGGAACACCGGUGGCGAAGGCGGAUCUCUGGGCCUUACCUGACGCUCAGGCGCGAAAGCUAGGGGAGCAAACAGG